GGCUUGUCUGAAGUGAGUUAUCUCAGUUGAUUGUUCACAGUCAGUUAUAAACUCCUUGUUCUACUCUUUCCCCCCUUCUCACUACUGCACUCAACUAGUCUAGG
ensembl:misc_RNA Y_RNA Y RNA